rnacentral:rRNA from 1 species
CAGGCUUAACACAUGCAAGUCGAGGGGCAGCAUGGUCUUAGCUUGCUAAGGCCGAUGGCGACCGGCGCACGGGUGAGUAACACGUAUCCAACCUGCCGUCUACUCUUGGACAGCCUUCUGAAAGGAAGAUUAAUACAAGAUGGCAUCAUGAGUCCGCAUGUUCACAUGAUUAAAGGUAUUCCGGUAGACGAUGGGGAUGCGUUCCAUUAGAUAGUAGGCGGGGUAACGGCCCACCUAGUCUUCGAUGGAUAGGGGUUCUGAGAGGAAGGUCCCCCACAUUGGAACUGAGACACGGUCCAAACUCCUACGGGAGGCAGCAGUGAGGAAUAUUGGUCAAUGGGCGAGAGCCUGAACCAGCCAAGUAGCGUGAAGGAUGACUGCCCUAUGGGUUGUAAACUUCUUUUAUAAAGGAAUAAAGUCGGGUAUGGAUACCCGUUUGCAUGUACUUUAUGAAUAAGGAUCGGCUAACUCCGUGCCAGCAGCCGCGGUAAUACGGAGGAUCCGAGCGUUAUCCGGAUUUAUUGGGUUUAAAGGGAGCGUAGAUGGAUGUUUAAGUCAGUUGUGAAAGUUUGCGGCUCAACCGUAAAAUUGCAGUUGAUACUGGAUAUCUUGAGUGCAGUUGAGGCAGGCGGAAUUCGUGGUGUAGCGGUGAAAUGCUUAGAUAUCACGAAGAACUCCGAUUGCGAAGGCAGCCUGCUAAGCUGCAACUGACAUUGAGGCUCGAAAGUGUGGGUAUCAAACAGGAUUAGAUACCCUGGUAGUCCACACGGUAAACGAUGAAUACUCGCUGUUUGCGAUAUACUGCAAGCGGCCAAGCGAAAGCGUUAAGUAUUCCACCUGGGGAGUACGCCGGCAACGGUGAAACUCAAAGGAAUUGACGGGGGCCCGCACAAGCGGAGGAACAUGUGGUUUAAUUCGAUGAUACGCGAGGAACCUUACCCGGGCUUAAAUUGCAGAUGAAUUACGGUGAAAGCCGUAAGCCGCAAGGCAUCUGUGAAGGUGCUGCAUGGUUGUCGUCAGCUCGUGCCGUGAGGUGUCGGCUUAAGUGCCAUAACGAGCGCAACCCUUGUUGUCAGUUACUAACAGGUCAUGCUGAGGACUCUGACAAGACUGCCAUCGUAAGAUGUGAGGAAGGUGGGGAUGACGUCAAAUCAGCACGGCCCUUACGUCCGGGGCUACACACGUGUUACAAUGGGGGGUACAGAGGGCCGCUACCACGCGAGUGGAUGCCAAUCCCCAAAACCUCUCUCAGUUCGGACUGGAGUCUGCAACCCGACUCCACGAAGCUGGAUUCGCUAGUAAUCGCGCAUCAGCCACGGCGCGGUGAAUACGUUCCCGGGCCUUGUACACACCGCCCGUCAAGCCAUGGGAGCCGGGGGUACCUGAAGUGCGUAACCGCGAGGAGCGCCCUAGGGUAAAACUGGUGACUGGGGCUAAGUC